CAGGAAUGAAAAGUCCCAGGAUAAGAGAAGACAUGCUUCUGGGGAAAGCAGUUAUAAGGAGGUUAAUAAGGAUGCAUUAAUUGAGCAGCAGGGUGUGUGUGAGAGAGAGGGCCUCUGUUCCAGUCUUUGCAAGGGAGUGCACACUGGUAUGCUAGAGGCCUGACCUUCACCGCACUGGAACAGAGAUAAUGCAAGGACUGCCUGCUGCCGAAAGAAGCACCAACCCACCUGUUUGUGAAUAAGUAGAAAUGAAAAUGAAGUAUCGCAUGUAUUGCAUGGCCAUCUCUUAUGGCAUGGCCAACUAGUUAAGUCUUUGUCUUUGAUAACCAGUGAAAAGUGACAACAUUCAUGUUUAGACCUUUAAAUUUUCAUGUAUGAAGGCCCUUCUUUGGAGAUGAUGUAUGUCUGAAUAAACGCAUGCUCCUCAGCUGUGAGCACUAAAACUUCA